AUGCCGGUGACGAAGUCGCGCUGGAUGUGGAGCAGCGUCGCAGCGGCGGAGCAACGGAGCUGGAGCGGCGGGGCGACAGUGGAGCGCCUACUCACGAGCUGA
rnacentral:rRNA from 1 species